AUCACCUUCUCGGCCUUUAUGGCUUUGAUCAAGGUAGUAUCUGUUCUAGCAAGCUUAACAUCUUGCUUGCCCUUACGGGGGUAAAAGAAAAAUAAUUUUUAGAGGGAGGUUAAGGGAAUUGAAGGCAAGCCUUUUAUGAACUUAACGAGGAUGUGCAUGGAAACAUGAUGCGUCUACCCUA
rnacentral:snRNA from 1 species